GUGCCAGCCGCCGCGGUAAUACGGAGGGUGCAAGCGUUAAUCGGAAUUACUGGGCGUAAAGCGCACGUAGGUGGUUUGUUAAGCCAGCUGUGAAAUCCCCGGGCUCAACCUGGGAAUUGCAGUUGGAACUGGCAAGCUAGAGUAGGGUAGAGGGGUGUGGAAUUUCAGGUGUAGCGGUGAAAUGCGUAGAUAUCUGAAGGAACAUCAGUGGCGAAGGCGACACCCUGGACUCAUACUGACACUGAGGUGCGAAAGCGUGGGGAGCAAACAGGAUUAGAUACCCGGGUAGUCC
rnacentral:rRNA from 1 species